rnacentral:rRNA from 1 species
ACGAACGCUGGCGGCGUGCUUAACACAUGCAAGUCGAACGGAGCUUCUUGGAUAGAGACUUCGGUCAAUUGAAUUGAAGCUUAGUGGCGGACUGGUGAGUAACGCGUGAGGAACCUGCCUUUCAGAGGGGGACAACAGUUGGAAACGACUGCUAAUACCGCAUGAUACAUUCGGAUCGCAUGGUUUGAAUGUCAAAGAUUUUAUCGCUGAAAGAUGGCCUCGCGUCUGAUUAGCUAGUUGGUGAGGUAACGGCCCACCAAGGCGACGAUCAGUAGCCGGACUGAGAGGUUGACCGGCCACAUUGGGACUGAGAUACGGCCCAGACUCCUACGGGAGGCAGCAGUGGGGAAUAUUGCACAAUGGGGGAAACCCUGAUGCAGCGACGCCGCGUGAGUGACGAAGUAUUUCGGUAUGUAAAGCUCUAUCAGCAGGGAAGAAAAUGACGGUACCUGACUAAGAAGCACCGGCUAAAUACGUG